GACGAACGCUGGCGGCGUGCCUAAUACAUGCAGGUAGAACGCACAGUUUAUACCGUAGCUUGCUACACCAUAGACUGUGAGUUGCGAACGGGUGAGUAACGCGUAGGUAACCUGCCUGGUAGCGGGGGAUAACUAUUGGAAACGAUAGCUAAUACCGCAUAAUAUUAAUUAUUGCAUGAUAAUUAAUUGAAAGGUGCAAUUGCACCACUACCAGAUGGACCUGCGUUGUAUUAGCUAGUAGGUGAGGUAACGGCUCACCUAGGCGACGAUACAUAGCCGACCUGAGAGGGUGAUCGGCCACACUGGGACUGAGACACGGCCCAGACUCCUACGGGAGGCAGCAGUAGGGAAUCUUCGGCAAUGGACGAAAGCCUGACCGAGCAACGCCGCGGGAGUGAAGAAGGUUUUCGGAUCGUAAAGCUCUGUUGUAAGAGAAGAACGGGUGUGAGAGUGGAAAGUUCACACUGUGACGGUAUCUUACCAGAAAGGGACGGCUAACUACGUG
rnacentral:rRNA from 1 species